rnacentral:rRNA from 2 species
GUGUCAGCAGCCGCGGUAAUACGGAAGGUCCGGGCGUUAUCCGGAUUUAUUGGGUUUAAAGGGAGCGUAGGCCGGAGAUUAAGUGUGUUGUGAAAUGUAGACGCUCAACGUCUGACUUGCAGCGCAUACUGGUUUCCUUGAGUACGCACAACGUUGGCGGAAUUCGUCGUGUAGCGGUGAAAUGCUUAGAUAUGACGAAGAACUCCGAUUGCGAAGGCAGCUGACGGGAGCGCAACUGACGCUUAAGCUCGAAGGUGCGGGUAUCGAACAGGAUUAGAAACCCCUGUAGUCC